UUUGUUGCACAGAGCAAAAAAUUAUGUUGCUUUGUUUACGAAUAGUUGUUUUCAUUAUUAUUCACCUUUAUUUAGUAAUUUUAGUUCAAUAUUUAAACUAUCUGUUUAACUUGAAAUCAAAGACUGUUACGCAUAAUGACCUCCUAUACCCAAAUAUGUCGAGCUUGUUUAUCUUUUAACGUUUCAUUCAAUUACAUUUUAGCAGAGAACGUUUCUACUGAAAUUUACUGUUUUUGUACAUCAAUAGAGGUGCAGCAAGACAACCUUCCAAUGACACUGUGUGAUGCUUGCUAUGAUCUUCUCAUCAAGUGCUCAGAAUUCAAAAGAACUUGCUUAGAAUCUCAUAAUGCGUUACUUCAUUUGAGCUGUAAUGCCAGAAAAAUACCUGUUGAUGAAAAACUGUUUGACCAACUUGCACACCACAGAGGUCCCGAUGAGUUAAAUGUAAAAACAGAACAUUUAGUCAAUUUUGAUGAUGAAGAUACUGCAGUCAAAGCCGAGAACACGUCGGACCACUAUGACGAUCUAUUUGAAGCUGUAAACUUAUGUGAAAGCUCAAUAAUAAAUGAGAAGAAAAUAAAAAAAAGGAAAUUGAGUAAAGUGAGAAAACAGAAGAAACCAAAGAUUAAGUUGAAAAUACCCAGGAAACAUUUUGCAUUUGCAUGUGACAUUUGUAACAAGAAGUUCAAUUAUCAGGAAAGAUUGGAUGCACAUAAACUAGAGCAUGACGGAAAAGUGGCAAUAAUUCACUGUCCUGAAUGCAAUAAGACAUUCAUGACGUGGAGUGGACUGAAACGGCACAAUGAGAGCGAACACACACAGGUUAGCUUAGACAAAUUAAAAUGUAAUGUCUGUGGCAAGGUCUGCAAAAGUCAACAAACUUUAAAAACGCACGGGAAAACCCACGGAGACAGGAAAUUGUUUGUAUGCGACAUUUGUGGAAAGGGAUUCACUUCAAAGUUUAUUUUGAAGGUAUGAAAAUAAGUUGUGAUAAAAAAUAAUAAAUAUUUUAAAUUAAAAACA